GCUAAAAAUCUAGCUCUCCCCCCAACAUAUGCACCCCUCAUCCCCAAAUUUCAUCAAUUAAAACAUUUUUUUAAUUUAGUAAAGGAGAUUGAAAAACUUAUUGAAGCAAUAUACCUAGUACCGUAAGGGAAAGAUGAAAUAUUAAUGAAAAUCUUUAAGCAUAAAAAAGUAGAGCCUAACUCUCGUACCUUUUGCAUCAUGGUUCAACUAGUCUAAUCAAGCAAAGAGCAUUAUAGUUUGACCCCCCGAAACUAAGCGAGCUACUUCAGGGCAGCUUUACGAGCCAACCCGUCUCUGUUGCAAAAGAGUGGGAAGACCCCCAAGUAGAGGUGACAUACCUACCGAGCUUAGUGAUAGCUGGUUAUUCAGGAAAAGGAUUUUAGUCCAACCUAAAGUCUUAUUUUUAAAAUAAAAACCUCUAUUGACUUUAGAGCAAUUCAAAUAAGGUACAGCCUAUUUGAAAUAGGAUACAACCUCGUCCGACGGGUAAAAUUUCUUACCUUAACUUUAAGUGGGCCUAAAAGCAGCCAUCUUUCUAAAAGCGUCACAGCUUAAUCUUACAUAACCUUCAAUACCCUAACCUAAUUUUAACCCUCCACUAAUACUGAGUAACUCUAUACCCCUUAUAGAAGAUUUUAUGUUGAAACUAGUAACAAGAAGCAAGACCUUCUCUUAAAUGCAAGCACAAAUCAGAAAGGACAGACCACUGAUAAUUAACGCCAAUGAUCACCAAUCAGCAACCUCCCAAGAAAAACCUAAUUACUCUUGACGUUAACCUGACACCAGAGCAUUUCAAGAAAGAUUUAAAGAGAAAGAAGGAACUCGGCAAUCAUUAACCCCGCCUGUUUACCAAAAACAUCGCCUCUUGAGUUAAAAAUAAGAGGUCCAGCCUGCCCAGUGACAAAUGUUCAACGGCCGCGGUAUCCUAACCGUGCGAAGGUAGCGUAAUCACUUGUUCUUUAAAUGUGGACUAGUAUGAACGGCACCACGAGGGUUAUACUGUCUCCUUUCUCCAAUCAGUGAAACUAAUCUCCCCGUGAAGAAGCGGGGAUACAAAUAUAAGACGAGAAGACCCUAUGGAGCUUAAAAGUUUACUUCAAACGCUAACCCCCUGCAAAGUCAUAGACUACCACAAGAAGCCACGCGCUAUGAAAACAACUUUUAGGUUGGGGUGACCAUGGAGCACAAAAUAACCUCCACGCUGAACAGGCCUCCAAGCCUCGAGCCAAGGGCCACAACCCGCCGCACUAAAAAAUUAACAUCCAUUGAUCCAAUGAAUUUUGAUCAACGAACCAAGUUACCCUAGGGAUAACAGCGCAAUCUACUUCAAGAGUUCCUAUCGACAAGUGGGUUUACGACCUCGAUGUUGGAUCAGGGUGUCCCAGUGGUGCAGCCGCUACUAAUGGUUCGUUUGUUCAACGAUUAAAACCCU
rnacentral:rRNA from 1 species